rnacentral:tRNA from 1 species
CCGCGCGUAUCGGCUCGGCCUUACGAAGUCACCUUUAGGUGAUAAGCCGUAGAAACCGUAAUGGUCAAUGCGGGUCCGAAUCCCGUCGCGCGGACCA